UACAGAGGGUGCGAGCGUUAAUCGGAAUUACUGGGCGUAAAGCGCACGUAGGCGGCUUGUUAAGUCGGGGGUGAAAUCCUGGAGCUCAACUCCAGAACUGCCUUCGAUACUGGCGAGCUCGAGUUCGGGAGAGGUGAGUGGAACUGCGAGUGUAGAGGUGAAAUUCGUAGAUAUUCGCAAGAACACCAGUGGCGAAGGCGGCUCACUGGCCCGGUACUGACGCUGAGGUGCGAAAGCGUGGGGAGCAAACAGG
rnacentral:rRNA from 1 species